rnacentral:tRNA from 2 species
AGUCCCUUAGUGUAGAGGUCCAUCAUUGUGGGUUUUGGUCCCGCAGACUCCGGUUCGAAUCCGGAAGGGACUA